GCGGACGAUAACUAUAACGAUAACUAUAUUAGUGUUCACACCAGCGGACGAUAACUAUAACGAUAACUAUAUUAGUCUCCACACCAGCGGACGAUAACUAUAACGAUAACUAUAUUAGUGUUCACACCAGCGGACGAUAACUAUAACGAUAACUAUAUUAGUGUCCACACCAGCGGACGAUAACUA